UGCCUCCUUGUUCUCACUGCAGGCUGUGUUUUUAGACUGACUGCACAGAAAGAGGAGGUGGAGAGAUCCUACCGUAUAUACACCUCAGCCCUAUUCCUGUUCCAGAUCUGCACAAGAGUGGGGAGAGCAUGG
ensembl:snoRNA